UGGAAAAAGCAGAGCUGUCCUACCCUGAGC
rnacentral:piRNA from 1 species